rnacentral:rRNA from 1 species
GUAAUUUCCUCCAAAUCUCUGCUCUCCCUGUUCCUCCUGCCCUGCUCGCUGCGUGUGUGGUUCUGUGUGCACCGUGCGUCGUGCCUCGCAUGCCUCCUGCGAGAAAGCAAUCCUAGAGCCCUCCCUCCUCCUUUCCAUCCACUCAUGUCAUGCCUCCUCCCCUUUCUCCCUAGCCGACGGUGGCUCCUCCCCGUGUGCCCACGGUCUCCAAUGCGCUCAACCCGGCCCACCUCAGUCCCCUCACCCUCUGGUCACCGUCCUCCCGUGCCCUCACCCGCUGGUGGCCCUCCCAUGCAUCUCGGGCUUGAUGGCUGCUUCCCCACCUCGCCCAUUCAGCUCCGCCAUCGCCUCCCUCCCUUGCUGAUAUCCAUCUUAUCUCCUUUUGCAGGGGCUUGUCCUUCCGUGGUGGUCAUACGCCGUUUGAGAUUGGAGGGAGACUAGGAGACCCUGGCGGAAGCGAGCCUGCUAGCAGAGGCUCCAGGGAUGCUGGGUGAUAGGGCCUAGUCCAUGCCCCGGUUGUGCUGCUGGGAUUUUUAGGACGAGCCUUCCUAUCUAAAAUUAUCGGAUAAAUUCAACAUAUCUGUGGAAAUCUAGUUUUCUGCAGAUUCAUACGACUCUGAAUGUUAUUCCAUAACCGAUGACUCAAAGUGAUUAUACACUGAAACCGAAGCCUUUGGAAAAUGAAACAGAAACCUUACUUGAGAGCAGGCAGAGGCGUGGAACCAAUGGUGAUGUUGUUGUUGCCUGCUCUUCUAAACUGCUGCUUGUUCAUCGUUUGCUGUUUUGCCUAUCAAGGAAGGUAACUACUCAAAGCAGUUGGCAAGACAAGCAUUCGAUGGAGCUCAAGCGUUGAUCUUGAAGGAAGGUAACUACUCAAAGGUAUGCACCUAUUCAUGUUGGAGCAGUUAAGUUUGCAAGGAUUUUCUGCUGGAGGGCAUGGUAUGUGCUUGCAAGAAGUUCUUUGUGAUCUGGUGACAUCUUUUGGCCUAUUGGGGAACUGGACAUGAUUUAUAUUGCGAAGUUCAAUGUAUGGAUGAAAACUUCCUUUCAUAUCUGUUAUGUAUAUUUUAUAUACAUGGCUUUUGUGUUCUAUCAUGUGUGUUCCUGCUGCAGAAUUUUGUAUGGAAAUUCACCAUGAGUUAGAAUGUAUGUAUUUUCAACUACAGCCAUUUUUUUCAAAAGUCAAAAGAAUUUCUGCAUGAUCACAUAUCAUGAUUAUAUUUUUUUACGAAACCUUUUAUCCCAAACAAGUUGGGGUAGGCUAGAUAUGAAACCCUUUCACGAGGACUUUCCAGGAGGUCACCCAUCCUAGUACUACUCUCGCCCAAAUGGGUUUCAUACCCAAAAGACUGGCUAGUUUUUACGUUGGCUCGCCAAGCCUAUCACAACCCUUAGAUAUGAAACCCUUUUACGAGGACUUCCUAGGAGGUCACCCAUCCUAGUACUAUUCUCGCUCAAAUGGGUUUCAUACCUAUGGGACUGGCUAGUUUUUACGUUGGCUCGCCAUGAUUAUCUCCAUGAAAAAAGCUUUAGACAGUACAAAAUUGUAAAGGAAUCAUGGAACACUGUUGUAUGUCGCUGCUGAACAGAAGCAGGAUGCAACCAUAAAGAUUUUGUUGGAUAACCAUUCAGAUGUAAGUCCCAUUAAAUGUCUCUCCAUUAUUAUCUUAAAUCACAUUCAUUUACAGUUUUCUCACUCUUAUAUUUGAUAAUAUUCAAUUGUCUUCUUUCUCCAUUUUCCAAUUAGUUGAAUCUCAAUAGUAAAUUAGUUAGUAUUUUGUUUUAUCUCUGAAAUCUCGAGAUGUACACAAGUUGUUAGGUGUCAAAAAAAGUACACAAGUUGUUAACAUUUGAAUUUAGAUUUACGUUCGCCUUUUACUCGUUCUAUUUUUUGCAUAAUUGUGUCCUGUCUGUUAAGACAUGCUGAAAAGCUAGCUAUUCUGCAGCAAGCAGAGAGUCAUGGGCUCUUUCUGUGAGUCACCUGCUUCUCAUGUACAAAUAUUUCACCAUCUAAGUUUGAAAUAAAAUUGUACAUCGAAGAUAUCAAUGAUUUGCCAAGACUCCAAAGUCUUGUUGUUAUUUUUUGUAACUUCUGAUCUUGAACUUUGAUAGACAGAUAAUUAUGACUCUUUGACAUCAGAAAAUAUUUUAGUUUAUUUUGGGGUGGAUGUUAUUAUGGCAUCAAUACGGCUUCAUUCCACUUUAUCUGGCGCGACACAGGUCAAUAACUACUUCCUUUGAUUUCUUCAUCAUGAAUGCCUAUGUGCAUCUAUUAAAAAACCUUUAUUGUUUGUAUUGAGUGAAUAAGAACUGCAGUAGUUUCUCAAUGUGGAGGCCAUUAUAUUUAUGAUAUAAGAUGGAAUCCCGAAGGGCGAUGUAUACUUUUGGGGUUAAGGAUAUAAAGAACAACAUGGCUUAUGAGGUUGAAGAGAGCUCAAGUGGCAUCUUUUGGUUCUUGGAGGCCUGCACUUUCCUGGUGGAGCAGUAGCAAAAUAAUUCAGAGGCUUUAAAGCUACUCCACUUCACGUAGUUAGGAUCAAUUCUUUGUUUCGGUUUGAAAUAUUCCCCAGUCCCUCCUAUUUGAUCGAUUCAUCUAAUGGACAUUUUGCCAGGCAAAUAAAGAGAAGGCAGAUGUAUUGUUUUUUCUGGAGUACGGGAUAUGUAUUGUUACGAGUGAAGCCAUCCAUACAAUGGAUGAUAUCCAUUCCAAUUAUUGAGAUGAUGGAAGCACCACUUAGGAGUUUUGUCUCUGACCUAACGAAGCUGUUGAGGAAGAAGGGAUAAAUAAGUGCUGAGAAGACGGGAUAACUUAUCAAAUUCAGUUUGGUAUUACCCAUCAACAAGCUAACCGUGCUACUGGUGAAGGCUCAGUAGGCUCGCAAUCGCAGCGGAGCAUAGGGGUCUGGCACACGAAAGACGUGGUGUGGAGCUGGAUACUCUUUGUUGCGUUUGCGGGUGUCUGCUUGAAGUUGGCGGCCACCUUUUCCUUCGCUGUAAGGAAGUCAAAAAAGUUUGGCGAACCACCCAGCUAGAGGGUGUGAGACAGGAGCUGCUUUUAUGUCAAUCUCAGUUGGAGAUUCUUGAGCGUAUUUUUUGCACAACCGGAAAACAUCAAGCUUCAGGUCAUAUGCCUAUUGUGGAAGUGGUGGACUGAGGAAUAAUGGCAUGUUGAACGCAGACUAAGGCCUGAAGAAUUUAGUGCACAACUGUCUUUUGAUGUUGCUGAAUGGUGCCAGUUUUUUACGCCCUCUCCAAAGCCUGUUAUACAGGAUACGAGCAAGUGGAAGCCGCCACCUGACUUCGUCAAGAUCAACCUGGACGGUGCAUACUAUCCGGAAUCUGGUACGGGAGGUUGGGGCUGCAUUGCUGGAGCGCCGGACGGAGAUAUCCUAUUCGCAGCCGCUGGACCGCUCAGUAACUUGUCUGAACCGUUACAGGCUGAAAGCAAUGCGUUUUUGAAGGCGAUCGACCUUUCGGAAAAUUUGCCAUGGGCAAAGUCAUCUUUGAAACGGAUUGUCUAAAUCUGAAACAGGAUGUGUGUUCGGACGCCUGUGACGGCGCAGCUCUAAGAGCUUUAUUCAGAGAAGAAAAAUAUCAUCUCCGUUUGGGUUUCAUCGAGUACCGAGUGGAGUUCUCUCCCCGAAACUGUAACACACCAGCGCAUGUGCUAGCAAGUCUCGAUUCUCGGGAAGUUCAAAGUGACCAUACUCUGUGGAUUACCAAUUUUCCUGCUGAUGUAACCCGUGCAGUGGCCGGCGAUCUUGCCGCGACCACAUGUUAAUGGAAUGCAAGGUGUUUCAUAUAAAAAAAAGUAUACAUAUGUUCUAA